rnacentral:lncRNA from 1 species
UUCAGUUUAGGGUUUAAAACCCUAAUGAUGACUAGAUGGAAAGAGUUUAGUUUAGGGUUUAAAACCCUAAUGCUGACUAGAGGAAAAGUUCAGUUUAGGGUUUAAAACCCUAACGCUGACUGAAUGGAAAAGUUCAGUUUAGGGUUUAGAACCCUAAUGCUGACUGAAUGGAAAAAGUUCAGUUUAGGGUUUAAAACCCUAAUGCUGACUAAAGGAAAGAGUUCAGUUUAGGGUUUAAAACCCUAAUGCUGACUGACUGGGGACAAAGUUCGAGGAUACUAACUGACCUCUUUUUUUGAAUUUUCUUGU